GUGCUCGCUUUGGCAGCACAUAUACUAAAAUUGGAGCUAUACAGAGAUUAGCAGGGCCCCGUGCAAGGAUGAAAAGCAAAUCCAUGAAGCGCUACAUAUAUAU
ensembl:snRNA U6 U6 spliceosomal RNA